rnacentral:rRNA from 1 species
AUGACUCUCGGCAACGGAUAUCUCGGCUCUCGCAUCGAUGAAGAACGUAGCGAAAUGCGAUACUUGGUGUGAAUWGCAGAAUCCCGUGAACCAUGGAGUUUUUGAACGCAAGUUGCGCCCAAAGCCAUUAGGCCGAGGGCACGUCUGCCUGGGCGUCACG